UUUAUUAUUCUUUAGGUUGUUACUAGUUUCUCAUUUCUUGUUUUGCAGAAACGAGAGGCAGAGGACUGCUUCUAGCUGAGCUCAAAACUUCACACACCUACUUCAUGAUUCCCAGCAUCUUUUGGCUUCCAGUGACUUCUGUCAGGAUUCUUUGGAGCAGAGGUCUUAGGAUUAAAGCUUCCUGUUUGAUCUGUACUCUGGGGUCUGCUGGAACUACAUUCCCAAUGGGACAGGCAGACUUUUC
rnacentral:lncRNA from 1 species